UACAGAGGUCCCAAGCGUUGUUCGGAUUCAUUGGGCGUAAAGCGCGUGUAGGCGGCCAGAUAGGUCCGCUGUGAAAACUCGAGGCUUAACCUCGAGAUGUCGGCGGAAACCAUCUGGCUAGAGUCCGGAAGAGGAGAGUGGAAUUCCCGGUGUAGCGGUGAAAUGCGCAGAUAUCGGGAAGAACACCCGUGGCGAAGGCGGCUCUCUGGGACGGUACUGACGCUGAGACGCGAAAGCGUGGGGAGCGAACAGG
rnacentral:rRNA from 1 species